GGAGGUUCAAGUCCUCCCAGGCCCACCAAUUUACCUAUCCAUUUGCUUUUAUCCGUUUAUUUGCCGAUUUAUCGGUCCAUUGAAUUUAAGUGUUGGUAGCAGUUUUUAUAAUGAUGAGAAAUCAUGCUUAUAAAAGAACUUCUUAUAAAAGGCUUGUUUUUAAAAUGUGACGCUUAUCCAUUUUGCUUAGGCAAGAGAAACUUCAAGCGGUUCAAAUGCAAAAGGCUUUAAAUUUUGCAAAACAAUUUGAAUUUGCAAAACAAUUUAGAUUUUAAAGUGAUCCAAGUUCGUGAUCUCGAAUUUAAAAGUUUCGAAUGCUUUAUCCUUUUUUGGGGGC
rnacentral:misc_RNA from 1 species